GACGAACGCUGGCGGCGUGCUUAACACAUGCAAGUCGAACGGAAAGGCCCUGCUUUUGUGGGGUGCUCGAGUGGCGAACGGGUGAGUAACACGUGAGUAACCUGCCCUUGACUUUGGGAUAACUUCAGGAAACUGGGGCUAAUACCGGAUAGGAUCUCCUGCUGCAUGGUGGGGGUUGGAAAGUUUCGGCGGUUGGGGAUGGACUCGCGGCUUACCAGCUUGCUGGUGGGGUAGUGGCUUACCAAGGCUUUGACGGGUAGCCGGCCUGAGAGGGUGAACGGCGACAUUGGGACUGAGGGACGGACCAGACUCGUACGGGAGGCAACAGUGGGGAAUAUUGCACAAUGGGCGGGAGCCGGAUGCAGCAACGCCGCGUGCGGGAUGACGGCCUUCGGGUUGUAAACCGCUUCCGCCUGUGACGAAGCGUGAGUGACGGUAAUGGGUAAAGAAGCACCGGCUAACUACGUG
rnacentral:rRNA from 1 species